GCCAGUGUGGUGUAGUGAUUUGAGCAUCAGACUAUAGCUUUGGAGACCAGGGUUCAAAUCCCUGCUCAAAUA